UUUUUUUUUGUGCUUUAGGCAGGGAAAUACAUUGGACCGCCUUGACUCCAGUAUACCGUUUUUGUAACUGGAUUCGCUUUAAUAAAUAUAUAU
rnacentral:sRNA from 1 species